UACGUCGACGAGAGCCCCGAGCAAACGUUCAGUGUGUUUGUAUCUGUCGUGGUGUCAACACGCUUUGUGAGGGGAAUGCGAAGUCAAGGGUGAUCAUUUUCCCCUCUUCCCAUCUCCCUUAUUCGCGUCCCUUCUUCUUCUUCUUCUGCUUCUUCUUCUUCUUCUGCUUUUUUAAUUAAAUUCUCUUUCGCUUCUCAUUCUGCCUCGUCCAUUGCGCGUGGUGGAAGAGGUUUGAGUGGAAGGGGAAGUGCUCGACGAAGUGAUGUAAAGUGAAGUGAUAUGAAAUGAAGUGAUUAUUUUCGCGUGGCUUCGUGGCUCCGUUCGGGGAAGAGAAACGGUAAGAGGUCUUCGGCACUCGUCAGGGCAGGCGACGCGGUCAGGCCUCGUAAGAACAGCCUCGAACUUUCCUGUUAUCUACUGUUCCGUGAGUAUUUUUGUCUUGACCUAUUUUUUCUUUUUUCUUUUAUCAUUUUUUCUUUCUUUCUAUUUUUCUACUUGGGUACUUCUGGGAUUUUCUCUUUGGCGUUGUUUUUCGCCUUUUGU
rnacentral:lncRNA from 1 species